rnacentral:rRNA from 1 species
GGCAAGUCCGAACGGAAAGGCCCUGCUUUUGUGGGGUGCUCGAGUGGCGAACGGGUGAGUAACACGUGAGUAACCUGCCCUUGACUUUGGGAUAACUUCAGGAAACUGGGGCUAAUACCGGAUAGGAGCUCCUGCUGCAUGGUGGGGGUUGGAAAGUUUCGGCGGUUGGGGAUGGACUCGCGGCUUAUCAGCUUGUUGGUGGGGUAGUGGCUUACCAAGGCUUUGACGGGUAGCCGGCCUGAGAGGGUGACCGGCCACAUUGGGACUGAGAUACGGCCCAGACUCCUACGGGAGGCAGCAGUGGGGAAUAUUGCACAAUGGGCGGAAGCCUGAUGCAGCAACGCCGCGUGCGGGAUGACGGCCUUCGGGUUGUAAACCGCUUUCGCCUGUGACGAAGCGUGAGUGACGGUAAUGGGUAAAGAAGCACCGGCUAACUACGUGCCAGCAGCCGCGGUGAUACGUAGGGUGCGAGCGUUGUCCGGAUUUAUUGGGCGUAAAGGGCUCGUAGGUGGUUGAUCGCGUCGGAAGUGUAAUCUUGGGGCUUAACCCUGAGCGUGCUUUCGAUACGGGUUGACUUGAGGAAGGUAGGGGAGAAUGGAAUUCCUGGUGGAGCGGUGGAAUGCGCAGAUAUCAGGAGGAACACCAGUGGCGAAGGCGGUUCUCUGGGCCUUUCCUGACGCUGAGGAGCGAAAGCGUGGGGAGCGAACAGGCUU